GGAUGAACUACACAUAUUGGAAAAUUCGAAUGAGAGUUUUCUUACUUUUAUUGGAUUUAAAUUUAUGGAGUAUUGUUGAAAACAAUUUUCGAAUGUCUUCUCUUCCAAUGAACCAUUGGAAUGAUUCGGAGAAGAAGACUUUUUCUUUCAAUGCGAAAGCUAUGAAUAUUUUGUUUUGCACCUUAGAUAAAAACAAAUUUAAUCGUGUUUCUAUGU
rnacentral:lncRNA from 1 species